CUUCUCAGCCCGGCGGCUCCGCCGCAGUCAUCACCACCACAGCCCUCAUCUCCAAAGCCUUCCACGUCUACACCCAAAACCCCCAAAUCUCUCUGAAAUCCUCUCCCUUUUGUGUAACACGACAACAACCAACGGGCUGCCGCAUCAGCCCUCAUACCCACUGUCACCGCCGCCCAGCCGCCCUCCACCGCCUCCAUCCAGGGCCGUCUUUGAGGGCGGGCGAGCAUGGGCGACCGCCCAGGGCCCAUGAUUUUCGGGGGCCCAAAUUUUUUUAUAUCCUAUUAUAUAUACUAUAUUAUUAUAGGCCCUUUUUUUUUGUUAUCUGCCAAAAAAAAAUUAAGGCCCUAAAAAUUUACAUUCCAUAUAAAUUUUGUAGCCCAAAAAAUUAUAUUCCCAAGUACUAUCUUUUAAUCUGAUAUGCGAAGAUAAAUUACCUAGUGGCCCAAGUAUCUUUUAAUUAAAGCAAAUUAGCGUAAUUGCGUCUUUAAUUCUGCCGCUGCAACGCUUCGUCUCUCCCGCAGUCCUAGCUAUUCUUCAUCUUCUUCUCCAGAAUCCAGCCGUUCUCUCAAAAAUCUUUUCCCAAUAAUUUUUGAACCGUUAGAAUCAUGAAGAUAAAUAGGAGAAAUUAUAGAUUGUAUUAAUUAUCCUACAGUUUUAUCUUGUUCUUCAUAUUUCAAUCUUCAAUUCCUUGCCCAAAGUAAUCGCUUUCGCUUUGCAAUCUCAGACUCAGUUACCUAAAUUCUGAAAUUCGUUGGUCCAAAAUUGUAAGAUUCUUUUGAAGAAUCGAAGAACUCAGAAGUCAGGAAAUACAAGAAAAUCUUAGAGGCUUCUGAGAAUCUGAAUUCUGAUCUGUUGAAAUUCGUUGGUCCAAAAUUCCAACUUUCGGUUAGUCUCUUUUUAACCUUUCUUUUGUUUUAUUGUUUAUUGUUUUGUAAAUGCAUGUAUUUGUUUUAUUAUUUAUCCAACUAUCGGUUAAUGCUUGUAACUUGUUUAUCCAAUUCCAAUUUCCAACUAUCUGUUAGCAUAUAUAAUCUAACAUUAUAUUAAUUAUUUUUCAGAUUUUGAUCUCAAAUAGUUUGGGAAUUGGGAUAAUUCAAAGUGCAAUAAUCGUCAAUCUGAUAUUUGAUAUCUCAACCAUUUACCAUUAAUUUAUCCAGGUGUGCCAUUGUUCUUUUAUUAUUGUCUUAUCAUUGAUUUUGUUUGAUGAUUUGAGCUAUAGCCUAUAUCAAAGUUUUAUUUUAUAUAAUUGUUGUGGUUUGACCGAUUGAGUAUUAAGCAUGAUUCCUAAGAAACACAUUAAACACAUUUCUGGAAGUGAGAAAAGGAAAAAAAGAAAAAGAUUAGAAGAACUCACUAAAUCGCAAAAAGGUGAUAUUGAUAAAUUUUUUGCUAAAAUAGUGAUAAAGUUGAAAAUUCGCAUGUGAAUAAUGCUGAAAAAAAUGUGAAUUCAAGUGUGUUGGUUGAAGUUGAUGAUAUUUGUGAGAAUAGAGAUAACUUGAGCGAGCAUGAAAAUAUUCUUAGAAAUUUUAAAUGGUUUAGCUAGCAAUUUUAUGUAUUGAGAAAGAUAUCUUAGAAAGUCUUGAAACAAAUGAUAUUAUAGAUGACUUUGCAAGUCAAAAGGCGAGAAGAAGUCAUUUUUUGUAAUUACAAAUACCUUUUUUCUAUUGAAAUGUUAUUAUUUGACUUAAAAAAAAUGUUAUCUUUGUAUUUUUUGUAGUGUUACCUAAAUAGGGCCCAUUUUUAUCGUUUCGCCCUGGGCCCAUUUUUGAUCAGAAACGGCCCUGCCUCCAUCUCCCUCGCUUUAUUAUCAGAACGGGCAGCUGCCGCCGCCGCCCCUCUGCCCGGCUUCAGUCCCCA
rnacentral:lncRNA from 1 species